UACGUAGGGUGCGAGCGUUGUCCGGAAUUAUUGGGCGUAAAGGGCUCGUAGGCGGUCUGUUGCGUCGGGAGUGAAAACUCAGGGCUUAACCCUGAGCUUGCCUCCGAUACGGGCAGACUAGAGGCAUGCAGGGGAGAACGGAAUUCCUGGUGUAGCGGUGAAAUGCGCAGAUAUCAGGAGGAACACCGAUUGCGAAGGCAGGUGGCUACGAUUUAUUUGACACUGAGGCACGAAAGCAUGGGGAGCAAACAGG
rnacentral:rRNA from 1 species